ACGGGUGCGUAACGCGUGGGAAUCUGCCCUUGGGUUCGGAAUAACAGUUAGAAAUGACUGCUAAUACCGGAUGAUGUCUUCGGACCAAAGAUUUAUCGCCCAAGGAUGAGCCCGCGUAAGAUUAGCUAGUUGGUGGGGUAAUGGCCCACCAAGGCGACGAUCUUUAGCUGGUCUGAGAGGAUGACCAGCCACACUGGGACUGAGACACGGCCCAGACUCCUACGGGAGGCAGCAGUGGGGAAUAUUAGACAAUGGGCGAAAGCCUGAUCCAGCAAUGCCGCGUGAGUGAUGAAGGCCUUAGGGUUGUAAAGCUCUUUUACCAGGGAUGAUAAUGACAGUACCUGGAGAAUAAGCUCCGGCUAACUCCGUGCCAGCAGCCGCGGUAAUACGGAGGGUGCUAGCGUUGUUCGGAAUUACUGGGCGUAAAGCGUACGUAGGCGGUUAUUCAAGUCAGAGGUGAAAGCCCGGGGCUCAACCCCGGAACGGCCUUUGAAACUAGAUAGCUAGAGUCUUGGAGAGGUUAGUGGAAUUCCGAGUGUAGAGGUGAAAUUCGUAGA
rnacentral:rRNA from 1 species